CCAAUAGCGUAUAUUAAAGUUGUUGCAGUUAAAAAGCUCGUAGUUGAAUUUCGGGAUCAAAUUGUCGGUCGUGCCUCGGUACGUACUGGCGUUAUUGGUUCCUCCCUUCUGAAGAACCGCGAUGUCAUUAAUUUGGUGUCGCGGGGAAUCAGGACUGUUACUUUGAAAAAAUUAGAGUGUUUAAAGCAGGCUCGCGCUUGAAUACAUUAGCAUGGAAUAA
rnacentral:rRNA from 1 species